rnacentral:lncRNA from 1 species
AAAGCUAAUAAACCCUACCUCCCAAUGGAUAUUUGCCUUUUGGAAAGUUGGUUAGGAGCUACGGUCCUAACAUGUGGUAUCAGAGCAAGAUUACGGUUCGAAAUCCGACAGGCCCCCAGAGUGUUAAAAAAAAUAUCACUGAGGAGAGGAAUUGUUGUGCAAGGUUCCAGCGUACAUUUGGUGAGACCCAGAGAGAGGUUGGUAGUCGAAGAGAAAACUCGAUGAGACUUUGGGAGAGGAUGGUAGCUAAGGGGGUUCGAUGAGAUAGCCGAAGAAGACUCAGUGAGACUCUGAAAGAGGAUGGUAGCCGAGGAGGUUUGGUGAGACUCAGGCUGAGGUUGGUAGUCGAAGGUGGCUGAUGUAUUGACAAUAAUUAUGGAAGUCGAUAAGAAGGAUCAACUAGUGCCUAGUUGGUAAGAUUAAAUGGGUCUAAUCAUCCAACCUACUGAUUAAGGAUGAUCUAGCUUGAUGCGGAUCAACUCAGGUGUGAAGCCCCUGUGCCUAGUGGACAAACGCUAAUAAACCCUGCCUCCCGGUGGGCAUUUAUCUUUUAAGAAGUUGGUUAGGGGCUACGGUCCUAACAUGUGGUAUCAGAGCGAGGUUGCAGGUUCGAAACCCAGCAGGCCCCC